UACGAAGGGGGCUAGCGUUGUUCGGAAUCACUGGGCGUAAAGCGCACGUAGGCGGAUCUUUAAGUCAGGGGUGAAAUCCCGAGGCUCAACCUCGGAACUGCCUUUGAUACUGGGGAUCUCGAGUCCGGGAGAGGUGAGUGGAACUGCGAGUGUAGAGGUGAAAUUCGUAGAUAUUCGCAAGAACACCAGUGGCGAAGGCGGCGAGCUGGCCUGUACCUGACGCUGAGGCGCGACAGCGUGGGGAGCAAACAGG
rnacentral:rRNA from 1 species